rnacentral:rRNA from 1 species
GACGGAGGGGGCAAGCGUUGUUCGGAAUUAUUGGGCGUAAAGGGUGCGUAGGCGGUUUGGUAAGUCUGAUGUGAAAUCUAUGGGCUCAACUCAUAGUCUGCAUCGGAAACUGCCGGGCUUGAGUGUGGGAGAGGUGAGUGGAAUUCCUGGUGUAGCGGUGAAAUGCGUAGAUAUCAGGAGGAACACCUGUGGCGAAAGCGGCUCACUGGACCAUAACUGACGCUGAUGCACGAAAGCUAGGGGAGCAAACAGG